rnacentral:rRNA from 1 species
UCCGUAGGUGGAUAAUUAAGUCAGAGGUGAAAUCCUGCAGCUCAACUGUAGAAUUGCCUUUGAUACUGGUUAUCUUGAGUCAUUAUGAAGUGGUUAGAAUGCGUAGUGUAGCGGUGAAAUGCAUAGAUAUUACACAGAAUACCGAUUGCGAAGGCAGAUCACUAAUAAUGUACUGACACUGAGGGACGAAAGCGUGGGGAGCGAACAGGAUUAGAUACCCUGGUAGUCC